rnacentral:rRNA from 1 species
AUUGAACGCUGGCGGCAUGCCUUACACAUGCAAGUCGAACGGCAGCACGGGAGCAAUCCUGGUGGCGAGUGGCGAACGGGUGAGUAAUAUAUCGGAACGUGCCCGGUCGUGGGGGAUAACGUAGCGAAAGCUACGCUAAUACCGCAUACGAUCUACGGAUGAAAGCGGGGGAUCGCAAGACCUCGCGCGAUUGGAGCGGCCGAUAUCAGAUUAGGUAGUUGGUGAGGUAAAGGCUCACCAAGCCGACGAUCUGUAGCUGGUCUGAGAGGACGACCAGCCACACUGGGACUGAGACACGGCCCAGACUCCUACGGGAGGCAGCAGUGGGAAUUUUGGACAAUGGGCGCAAGCCUGAUCCAGCAAUGCCGCGUGCAGGAUGAAGGCCUUC